CUGGAGUUUUGUCUCAAAGCCUUAUUUUACCAUCAAAAUCACUGAAAUGUUCCAGUCACCUGGUUGUGUGCAUAUGAGAGCUUUUCCACGCUGCACCUGGAGACACACAGGACUUUAACACUACUGCACUGAACAAAACCAAAAGCUGUCAUCUGCCUCUUUGAUGCUAACUAAUUGCAGACCAUAACCCUCCCAAAUAUCAGACCCCAAGCCUUGGAUUUCACCCCGUAAGGUCUCCUUGUUUACCAUGUCACACUUGUUUCUGCUGGGCCAGUAGCAGGUGAGCAGAAGCUUCCUCUCCAAAGAGCCCCAGGCAGACCUGCCUUGCCCAUAGCCAGACCAGAGCGAGCCCCCGGCCAGAUGCACACACAGUGGAAAAAAAAGUGUUCCCAUUGGCCAUGGCUCCAGGGUCCACCAAUCAGGUGACCCGAUGGGGCCGGGUGUAACGCUCGCCAGACCCCGACUGUCGUCUCGAUGACAUCAUGAUGCCUGGCCGUUAAUUCAACUCUGUGAAGUGUGAAACGAAGGUGAAGGAGAAUGUUAUUGUGUCUUAUAAUAUUGGUGUUAUGGCCGGGAUGGUUUGUGUGUUUGUAGAACAGGAUUAUUGUUGUCACAGCUGUAGAUUAGUUGCUCUGCUUGGAUGUGAUGCAGGACAUUUGCAUAUGACCGCUCCAUCAACAGUAUACAUUGUACACAACUAGAAAUGUGGUGUGAAUAUCAGCUCUUUUAUUAAAAGACAUGCCACACAUUUUUCUCCUUUAAUAUGAAGUUUUAUAUAUUUAUAUAUAUCUUUUUAUAUACGUUU